rnacentral:sRNA from 1 species
AAUAGCUUCUGGUCCAGGGCCUCAAGAAACUCGAUGUCCUGUUCCUUGUCCUGUUUUAAGCCUAGAGGACCUUGCAGGGCCGGGUCUUCGUCAACUGUGGAGAAGUAGGUCUCCCCCAACUCGCGAGUUUGUUGAGGCGCAAGGGGUGAAUCCGUCGUCAAUGUACCAACCUCAGUGGAUACGCCGCUUGUUUCGACGUCUGGUUUAAUGGCUAUCAUUGGAGUAUGUCCUGCAUCUCUCACGAGAUUUUCUUCGGGGAGUCCCAAUUCCGAUAGCGCGAGUUGCGCGGGUUUCCUGGUUUCUACCAACUUGGGGUCUAGGGCUCGAUUUCGAGAUGGAGAUACGGCGUCUGAAGGGGAGGUUGAAGAGGUCCUUGUAAGAAUAUCCGGGCUUAGGGCAGUAGAUUUAAGGGUGAUCCCAUCCAAACUGCUAUCAACUAAUUCAAUGGGAACUCCAACUGCAGCAUACCGAUCGACGGGUCGGGUCGUAAGGGACAGGGCUUCAUCAAGCGAGGGGGCUAAUUCGGGUCCAUGGUUGUUGCUCUUAGAGUGUAUCGAGCUUCGGGGGCUCUGCUCUUCGUCUCCCUGCCAGAAUACUCUGGUUGGGUUGAGAGUCGGACUUGAUCCUUCCCAUACAUGAUGGACAUCCUGUGUCUGACGGGCCUCCUUUCCGCUGUGAUUUGAUGCCAUCCGGGGUUUCUCGAUUCUAGAAGAUCCUCUUUUUCGUUCUUGUUCCAAUUCCGUAAUCCUGUGUAUCAUAAUUGAUCUUUCCUUCUCCCACAGCUUCCGUUCUUCUGCAAACGCUGCUCGUUCACGCUCAAAGCUGAACCGCAGCGAUUGAAGCGCUAGCCUGGAUUGUUCGACGAAGCCGAAAAUAUCUGUCGACACUGUGCUUGACACACCAUCUGGCCACUUCAAACGAGAGUUAUCGGAAGUUGGUGAAGUUGGACGGCGACUUGGAGAUAGCGUAGACGACUCCUCGGUGUCCCUGUGCGUAUAUUCAAGCCUUUCGCCACAACCUGAAGGUUGUGGAAUUGCACGGAUCUGGGCCAUGUUUACCAGGAAAGAUGACUCAGUAUCUGUGAUGAGGUAAAACGAUACGACUUAGUCAGUUUUGCCAACAUUGUUGAAGCUUAGGGUAUGUGCUCAUGAGGUGGCAGGCUAGAGUCGUAUUGCCUCCGAUACGAGUGAGGUAAAUCAGUGGCAGGCUGGAUCGUCGAGCAUGGCAUCGCAAAACAUCGGAGCAGCGACUGUGGGAUGGUGAUAAUUUACCUUUGAAUACCGGGAUUAUUUUAGGGCUAAAAUAUGCGCGGGUAGUUACUAUAUUAGGGGACGUCAUGUCAUGCCCUCGACUAAAUAUUUGCUUAGCCUGGUUAGACGCCCCCUCAAAUCGUGGAAUAUCUGAGAGAACACACUGCUUCGGAUUGAGUGCAUGAAGAUAUCAAACUGUCUCUAUUUCCUACAUUGACUUAAUGUAUAUAGGCUGAAGAAGGAUAUAUGUUCACCUAUGUCAAUAUACCAAGAUUUACUCCCCUCCCAUCGGCGUGCCGCACUACCUUAAAAUAUUUUUUUGAUAUUAUUAACUUGUUGUUUUUGAAAUCAAGUUUCCUGCUAUGUCGUACGAAUACCAUUAAUCCGGAUACAGCCGAAUCCAACUGACAGGAUAUACUGGUACCGUUCUUUUUAAAUCUUUCAAGUAUUUCCCCUUGAAGUCCGAAUCCAGAUAAUGGAUUUCCUAUUUGCCUCUGGUGGGAAUCGGGUUAUGAAUUAAACUUCUUCUAUUUGUUCAUCCCUCGUGUUGAGCUAUACCAGGAGGGAAACCUGGUGAAACGAGGAGAGAAGAGAAAAAAAAUUUUUUUUUUUUUUCAAUAAAGGAUCGAAAUGCUGCACGAAG